UACGAAGGGGGGCUAGCGUUGCUCGGAUUGACUGGGCGUAAAGGGCGCGUAGGCGGUUCGUACAGUCAGACGUGAAAUUCCUGGGCUCAACCUGGGGGCUGCGUUUGAUACGUGCGGACUUGAGUGCGGAAGAGGGUCGUGGAAUUCCCAGUGUAGAGGUGAAAUUCGUAGAUAUUGGGAAGAACACCUAUGGCGGAAGGCAGCCUCUCUGGGGACGGUACUGACGCUGAGACGCGAAAGCGUGGGGAGCGAACAGG
rnacentral:rRNA from 1 species